UCCCUGUUGACUCAGACGGUAAAGCGUCUGCCUGCAAUGCGGUAGACCCAGGUUCGAUUCCUGGGUCAGGAA
rnacentral:tRNA from 1 species